AUGUUUUAUUAACAACUCUGCAACCCGAGUCAUUCGUGUUUUUCAAUUAAACUCGCCCAGUGAGAUUCAUUGGAGUCAUAUGAUGUAGAUCUAGAUUGUCGUCGCAGAUCGUCUGAUUCAUGAGAAUGUGUUUUAUCCUCAUUCAAGGUAGAAAUAACUGAUCCAGUUUUGGAAAAACAUUAAUAAAUGUAGUUUUAAGCGUAUGAUACACAGAGAAACAGUGGAUGAAGUCAAGAAAAACAAAAUACAUAUGUGGUAUAGUAU